rnacentral:rRNA from 1 species
UACGUAGGGUGCAAGCGUUAUCCGGAAUUAUUGGGCGUAAGGGGCUCGUAGGCGGUUUGUCACGUCGGGCGUGAAAACUCAGGGCUCAACCCUGAGCGUGCGUCCGAUACGGGCAGACUAGAGGUAUGCAGGGGAGAACGGAAUUCCUGGUGUAGCGGUGAAAUGCGUAGAUAUUGCUCGGAAGGCCAGAGCCGAAGGGGCCCUGACUGGUACGUAACUGACACUGAGGCACGAAAGCGUGGGGAGCAAACAGGGA